AUGUUGAUAGGUGCUGCUACUUUGCUAAAAUAUAAUGAUAUGAUUUUACUUGUAUUUAGACUGCUAUAUUUAGUGUGUAUACAAUGCUCAAGCAGUGUUCCAGAAAUUGCUGCCAUGCGCCAAUUGGGCCAGUUUAGGUCCCACUUUAUGUUAAACCAGCAAUGUUCGUGUGGCUUAGAUAUUGCAUUCUCAGUCAGUUUUAUUUAAAACACCAGUUGAGCAUGUGAGUCAAAUGAAUUGGUUUGUCAACACUGAAUUAUAGAAACAACACCUGAAAAGUUAUUAUAGGAUGAACAUAGUUUCGUUAUUUCCCUUACUGAUCUACUUGAGUUACUACACUUGUUUUGCGUUUUUAGCCUCUUCUAUAAACGGCCCAGUUCAUUUCCAGGUUGUGAUAUAGUAGUUUGUUAACUUAAAACGGCCAGUUGGUGUUAUCAGGACUUUUACUUAGUCUGGAGUUAUAUGUUUGGUUAUCCGUGGCGUCGGAUGCUCACCAUAUGUGGCAUAUGUUUUAAAUUAGCAAAAUUCAUUAGUACAACCAAAUCAAAAUAGUCUUGAAGAUAUACUACAAAUAUUUACGUUCUUGUCCACCAGGUCACUAAAUGUGGUACGAAUGCAGUUUCUUUAAUCCUGCUCUAUCUAAUUUUUCAGGUCACUGAAACCAAAUCAUGCAUUUGAGUCGCUCAGUCGAUGGAGGACGAGCCAGAAACAGAAAACACUGUCGCAGAGGUACUUAUAGCAAAUACAGAAUGGACCAAUAUUCGAAAAGAGCACAAGACUUGAGGAUUUGAGCAUGCUUGUAGGCCAGAAGCAUCACCUUCAGACUUUGUCACUUGUUGACAGUCUAAAAUUGACCCUGAACUAAUAUGGGCACUUGCUAAGCAAGACAUCAAAGACCAGCACCAGCUGAAGAAGAGUAUGUAGCGAGGUUAUUCGUCAAAAGUAUUUACAAACCAUGGCACAUCUAAUUGUAAGCCCCUUGACCUGGCUGGGAUCACAGCCCCACAGAUCUUUUUCAUCGUACUCUGGUCUUUAUCGUAGCCUACCGGAAAUAGGGC